GUGAGGAAUAUUGGUCAAUGGACGAGAGUCUGAACCAGCCAAGUCGCGUGAAGGAAGACGGUUCUAUGAAUUGUAAACUUCUUUUGUGCAGGAAUAAAGUGGGUUACGUGUAACCUUUUGUAUGUACUGUACGAAUAAGGAUCGGCUAACUCCGUGCCAGCAGCCGCGGUAAUACGGAGGAUCCGAGCGUUAUCCGGUUUUAUUGGGUUUAAAGGGUGCGUAGGUGGAUUGAUAAGUCAGCGGUGAAAGUUUGCAGCUUAACUGUAAAAUUGCCGUUGAAACUGUCGGUCUUGAGUGCAAAUGAGGUAGGCGGAAUGUGUUGUGUAGCGGUGAAAUGCUUAGAUAUAACACAGAACUCCGAUUGCGAAGGCAGCUUACUGGGAUGCAACUGACACUGAUGCACGAAAGCGUGGGUAUCAAACAGGAUUAGAUACCCGAGUAGUCC
rnacentral:rRNA from 1 species